AACAUGGCGUUGAUGGAGAAAGGUAUUCUGUGCAAAACAGUUUCAGAGAGUCGGUGGGUGCUGUGAACCGAUACUGUGCUUGAAUACAAAUCACUCUUGAGCCGUAUCUUUGAACAUAAUGAACCUGCUUUCAUUAGUAAAAGAUACCGUUUAGUCCCGUUAUCGACUUAGGUUUGUUAGAACUGAAAAGGGGUAUUCAUAUGUUGAAUACAACCAAGGUGGUACCGCGGGUGAUCCUCGUCCUUGAA
rnacentral:ncRNA from 1 species